rnacentral:rRNA from 2 species
GACGUAGGGGGCGAGCGUUGUCCGGAAUUACUGGGCGUAAAGAGCACGUAGGCGGGAACUUAAGUCAGGUGUGAAAGACCGGGGCUCAACCUCGGGGUGGCACUUGAAACUGGGUUUCUUGAGGGCAGGAGAGGAAAGUAGAAUUCCUGGUGUAGCGGUGAAAUGCGUAGAAAUCAGGAGGAAUACCAGUGGCGAAGGCGACUUUCUGGACUGACCCUGACGCUGAGGUGCGAAAGCGUGGGUAGCAAAC